ACCUCCGCCUUGCUGCAAAAUCCUUCACCACCGCUAGAGGCCUCCCCGCUUCCAACUCCAUCUCAUCGGUCAAAUCUCCAUCGCCUCCAAUUAACUCCAGUUCGCCGCCUCAACAGAAAUGUUGCCAUCUACAUUUAUGCUUCAAAGUUUGGAUCUUGCUGUUUCUCUAAAUGAGGAAGGUGAUCGAAGUUCACCAUAUCAUGUAUCCAAAUCUAUGAAUUUUCAGAAAAUUAGAAAAUAUGAAGACUUAGAUGAUUUGAUGAAUCCGUAUCAAAGAUGAAGAUUAUAAUUCCAAAUUUCCUGCAACUAUAAGUUUCUCUCUCAAAUGCUCAAAGAUAUUCCCUCCUUUCUCUUGCUUUGUUCUUCAAUUGUAAGAGUGAAAAUGAUGUUUGGCAUGGAAAAUUGGAUGUUGAAAUGCAUGGCACGCAAAUCAGUUCCCAAACCAUAUGAGUUUAAAACUUUUACCAAGGACAAAAAAAUUAUUGAAAUUUCAUCAAGUGACGAUGAAGACGAGCAGAAAAAGAUGUUAAAUAUGGGUCACUCAACCAACAAACAAGCAAUUGAUGGUCAUUGAGAACAAGUAUGAAGAUGAUGAAUAUGCACAAGAGUUUGCCAUCAAGGUCACCAAGUAGCUGCUCUAUGUUGCAGCGAGAGUCCUUCCUCCACCAAUGGUAGUUAUUUGAUCUGCAAUUGCUUUGUUGAAUAUCAAAGUGAAAAUAUUAAAUUGUCAUUUUUUUUUUCAUGUUCACCUCAACAUGAUUCUGGAAAAGAGAAGACAUGCAGUCCAAGAGUGGGCGCGUGGAAUAUUAUCAAUAAGGUGUAAUUUGUCAGUUCCUCUCUACAAAGGGUGAAACAGGACAAAUCAUAGUAAAAAAAUGCCGCCUCUAAUGGCAAAGUUGUAGGGUCUUAAUAAUGUGCUCACCGAGGAAGAUAUCUCCGCACUCCUAGCCGAGUCAAAUCUUAACACAAGCAAGGAGAUAGAUUUAGAGUCAUUUCUUCGGGCCAUUAGAUCCAUAUACCAACGGGCUAUUUGACCUUGCUAAGGAUGGAGUGCUCUUAUGACGAGAGGGCUAUCAACACAAAACAAGAGCUGAAUCCAUGGGAGAGGAAUGAGAAUCAUGCUCUUUGUUUGAACUCUGCGAAGGCUAUUGGGUGCACUGUUGUCAAUAUUGGAGAACAAGAUAUUGUCGAAGGGAGGCCUCAUUUGCUACUCGGGCUGAUAUCUCAAAUAAUCAAGGUACGUACAGAACUUGUUCUGUAUUCUUUACAUAUAAGAAGAUAAUAAAGGCCUGCAUAUUAGAAAGAGAUUUGGUGCAUUCAGCUGGAUCACAGCGAUAUUCUUUCAGUGAGGUUCAUAGUUUGGUUUUGGGUCAGGAUGAUGAGUUGAAUAUUCUUGUUUGUAUGCACAUUCUCGCUACUAACUUAUGGAUUUGUGGUAUCUUUAAGUUUCAUGGAUUUGAUCAGUUGGAAAAUGUGAAUACAGGUAUCACCCCUAUGUUUCAAAUACUAUGGCUUAUUGGAUGGGAUGAUGAAGGGUUAAAACAUUUUUCUUGCAAUGAUAGAGGGUGUGAGUGAUUAUUUUGGAUGUUCAACCAAAUUACAAAUAAA